UACAGAGGUCUCAAGCGUUGUUCGGAUUCAUUGGGCGUAAAGGGUGCGUAGGUGGCGAGGUAAGUCAGGUGUGAAAUCUCGGGGCUCAACCCCGAAACUGCACUUGAUACUGCCUUUCUCGAGUACUGGAGAGGAGAUUGGAAUUUACGGUGUAGCAGUGAAAUGCGUAGAUAUCGUAAGGAAGACCAGUGGCGAAGGCGAAUCUCUGGACAGUUACUGACACUGAGGCACGAAGGCCAGGGGAGCAAACGGG
rnacentral:rRNA from 1 species